CCCAAUGGCGAAUCUUGGAGGAAAAUCAAGGGCAGACUCAAAGUCAAAGGCUCAAGCCUAUUAAAGCCUGCCCAGUUCAUUCGUCACUGUUGCCGCCUCCACCUCCGACGUGCUGCGGCACUACGGGCGGUGCUACUAGGAGCUCUCCAAAGCCCGCCUCAGUGAUGUUCGUGAGUGUGGUGCGCGUGCUAUGAUGGAUGUGCGACGAAGACAAUGUGUCCGCCCGUGAACCGUGAUAGGUGGGUGGCGUCAUGAUGGGACCCAUAAGCUCGUGGGUGGAGGCGGCGUACUUGCACGUGCGACGGUGAGUGACAGAGGGAUGGCUACCGAUGCAGAGACGGCGCGGAGCAGCCGAAUGCAAAGGGUGCUGUCACGGUCGACGACAAUGACUGCAACCUGUGUGUCGGCCA